rnacentral:rRNA from 1 species
UACGUAGGGGGCAAGCGUUGUCCGGAUUUAUUGGGCGUAAAGAGCUCGUAGGCGGCUUGUCGCGUUGUUCGUGAAAAUUUACCGCUCAACGGUGAACUUGCGGGCGAUACGGGCAGGCUAGAGUACUGCAGGGGAGACUGGAAUUCCUGGUGUAGCGGUGAAAUGCGCAGAUAUCAGGAGGAACACCGGUGGCGAAGGCGGGUCUCUGGGCAGUAACUGACGCUGAGGAGCGAAAGCGUGGGGAGCAAACAGG